rnacentral:misc_RNA from 1 species
ACUUGCAAAAGGUGAGUAUUAUUUCUUAUUUUUUGCAUAUUAAAGCAAAUUUUGUUUGAUGUUAGGUUUGUGGUUAAAUUUAUAAUAUGAAGCAUUGGUUUGUCCGAUCUACAGGUUUUUUCCCAAUUUGAAUUGUUUUUCAAAAUUAAUUUGACUAAAAUAUAUUAUUAAUAUCUAAUUUGAUGUAUUUAUACUUAUAUAAUUUUGUACCUUAGUUUUACUUGUAUCUACCAA